CAAUCCCUCCUCGCUCUCCCGAACAAAGAGUACGGUUGAAAGAAUUGAAUCCAAAAACAAGGACGUUUGAAGAAUCUAACUCCAGACUUCAGGAGACAGAGGCUGUCAAGAGAAGAUCAUUACCAAGAAAAAUUGGUGAAAUUUAUAGGGCUAAUGGUUCGUUUAGUGCCGGUGAGUCUAAGCUUUGGACUUUUAGCAUAGUUCAGCUUUGGACAGGUAAUCUGUUACACUUUAUUUAGAAAAAUAUCUUAGUCAAAUAGAUGUGCUUGU